rnacentral:rRNA from 1 species
CGCCCCUUGUUUAUUUAAGAUGAGGGGUCGUGCCUGCUCAAUGAUUAUUAUUAAUUAAAUAGCCGCGGUACUCUGACCGUGCGAAGGUAGCAUAAUAAUUUGCCCCAUAAUUGGGGGCUAGAAUGAAUGGCUUGACGAGGGCCUGACUGUCUUUUUGGUUUUGAUUAGAAAUUAAUUUUUAGGUGAAGAAGCCUAAAUUGGGGAAAGGGACGAGAAGACCCUGUUGAGCUUUGAGUUUAUUUUAUUUAUUUGGUUUAUAUAUUUAUAGAAUUUAAUAUGAAUUUUGGCUUUAGUUGGGGCAACUGAGGGAUAAUAAGUAAUUUCCUUAGCUAAGUUAUAAAAUUAUUAUUAUUGAUCCGUUUUUUACGGUUAGUAGAUAUAGUUACCACAGGGAUAACAGCGUAAUCUUUUCUGAGAGUUCUAAUCGAAGAAAAGGAUUGCGACCUCGAUGUUGGACUAAGGGAUUCUUAAGGGAGUAGAAGCUCUUAAAGUAAGUCUGUUCGACUUUUUAAACCUUACA